GAUGAACGCUAGCGGCGGGCUUAAUACAUGCAAGUCAAGGGGUAGCAAUACACCGGCGUACGGGUGCGUAACGCGUAUGGAACCUGCCCUUCUCUGGUGGAUAACUCGGGGAAACUCGAGCUAAUACCGCAUAAGAUAGUAGAGAGGCAGCUCUUAGCUAUUAAAGAGUUAUCGGAUAUGGAUGGCCAUGCGUAAGCUUAGAUAGUUGGCGAGGUAACGGCGCACCAAGUCUACGAUCUUUAGGGGCUCUGAGAGGAGAAUCCCCCACACUGGAACUGAGAUACGGGCCAGACUCCUACGGGAGGCAGCAGUAGGGAAUAUUGGGCAAUGGGCGGAAGCCUGACCCAGCCACGCCGCGUGCAGGAAGACGGCCCUCUGGGUUGUAAACUGCUUUUAACUGGGAAGAAAGCAGCUCAUGCGUGAGAAUUUGACGGUACCAGUUGAAUAAGCCACGGCUAACUACGUGCCAGCCGCCGCCGUAAUAC
rnacentral:rRNA from 1 species